AGUGAACGCUGGCGGUAGGCCUAACACAUGCAAGUCGAACGGCAGCACAGGAGAGCUUGCUCUCUGGGUGGCGAGUGGCGGACGGGUGAGGAAUACAUCGGAACCUACCUUUUCGUGGGGGAUAACGUAGGGAAACUUACGCUAAUACCGCAUACGACCUACGGGUGAAAGUGGGGGACCGCAAGGCCUCACGCGAUUAGAUGAGCCGAUGUCCGAUUAGCUAGUUUGCGGGGUAAUGGCCCACCAAGGCGACGAUCGGUAGCUGGUCUGAGAGGAUGAUCAGCCACACUGGAACUGAGACACGGUCCAGACUCCUACGGGAGUCAGCAGUGGGGAAUAUUGGACAAUGGGCGCAAGCCUGAUCCAGCCAUACCGCGUGGGUGAAGAAGGCCUUCGGGUUGUAAAGCCCUUUUGUUGGGAAAGAAAUCCUAUCGGUUAAUAACCGGUGGGGAUGACGGUACCCAAAGAAUAAGCACCGGCUAACUUCGUGCCAGCCGCCGCGGUAACAC
rnacentral:rRNA from 1 species